GGGUCUUAGUAGUCAUGCACAGACUUCUCUCUAGCUGUGGCAUGCAGAUUCCAGGGAGCAAACCCAUGUCCCCUGCAUUGCAAAGUGGAUUCUUAACCACUGGACCACCAGGGAAGUCCCUCUUUUGUUUCAUUUCUUAAUCAAAUGCUUAAGAAGGGAUGCUUUAGAAGGGAUUUAAGUCUGCUCUUUGGCUGGAGUAAGGACUCAGUAAGCAUCCGUUGAGAAAGAGAUGAAAGAAUGAUGAAAUAGUUAGCCCUUGAGAAAUGGUUGAUGACAGAGAAUCAAACGAGAUAAUCCCAAUGAAACUGAUGUCAAUCUGUGAGUAGUGAGAAUUGUAACUGAGCUGGACAGGACUGCAGCCUUACCCACUGGCGUCAUCUGCUGGAAAGAACUGAGCACAACAGACCCAUUUCUGCCUUGGUGAAGUAUGAGGACACUGGCUUUUGGAAGUCCCGGCAAAGAUCUGAGUAAAAACGGAAUACAUUUCAGCACAAUCUAACAUGUGCCAGGUUUCAUGCCAUUAACAAUGAUGACUAUUCCCAAGUGCUGACUAAUUUCAUCAUUCAUGUUACGCAAUGUUCAACUAACUGGGCAAGCGGUUGGUGAUGGAUUCCUUGACCUCUUCAAAUAAGCAAUGGAAGAAUCGAGGGCCACAACUUGACUAAUGCAUUUGAGUGAUUUAUUUAAAAAUCAAUUUUCUGGCAAAUUUGAAUUGUUUAAAAACAUUUCACUCCCUCUCCCACACCACUUCCAGAGGAAGAGCAAAAUUUUGAUGUUGGGGAUGUUGCCCUGGAUCAUGUUCCUGUAUGCUUUCCACUUGCUCGCUGACCUUAGGCUUCGCUGCAUGACUUGUUUUUCCCAAUGGGAUAUUAGCAGUUAUUGACUCAAGCAGAGGCUUAAAGUGUGCUUGCAGGGUUGGCCUUGCCCUCUAUGCUUCUGCCAUGCCAGAGAGUGCCUGCCUACUGGAUCAGCCAGAGUGCAGCAGCAUACAUGAAAGUAAAUCACUGUUGUUUUAUAUCACUGAGUUUUAAAGUGGCUUGGUAGGCAGUCCUGGCU
ensembl:lncRNA